GAGAAGCCUUAUACAACUAAUUAAUAAAAAUUACAAGUUGCUCGACCUAGAUAACAAUUAGAACUGACUAAAUAAUCGUCGAUUGUUAACAAGAAUAGCUGCCGACUUUCGUUUUCACAAAAGAUGAGUUUUAUGUUGCCUCGUAAAAAAGUAAAUGUGAGAACGUAUAAAAAGGAAUAUAAAAUGAUAAAUUACUAAGUGAAGUUGAAAUUCGUCAACAGUAUAUUAUAAUUACUAGAUAAUUAAUCAUGGCAUUCACCUGCAGCCAGUUGCCAACCUUUUGGACAGCUAACACACUGAUUUCUUCUUGGCCCAGAACA